GACCUGAGGAAGCGGCCUCUACCGUGGCCCUGGGACACGGCGAAGAAAGUGAGGGCUCCAAGAAUGACCACGCCUUGAGAACCGCAGACUAGGAAGGACCGCGUGCCGGACGAGCACGGCCCCGGGGGGCGGGCACAGACGAGCCUGGCGGAGCCUGGCGGAGGGAUCUCUGGACCAGCGUGGUGGCCGACAGCGGCAGAGGCGAAGGCGCUCUGUGAUUGCACCGCGCGCUGCUGAGGUGAUCUCGGCCUAUGUGGCGUCAGCAGAGCUGGCGGUCCGGGCACCGCCCCCUCUGUGGGGCGCCGGCCUCUGCAGCUAUUCAGCGGGGGUGUCGCCUCCCAGCAAUCCGUGAGACCUUCCCUCCAUGAGCCUUGCGAGGAGAAUCCUGGAGAAAAUACAAUCCGGCCGAUGCAAACUGGAGGGUUCCCUGAGGAUCAAAACUGCAGGAUAAAGACAACUCAAGCACACAGAAGAUUUCCAUUGGAGAUCUCAGCAAAGGAUUGUCAUCAAAAUUUAUCUCUUUCAGAAACAAAAUACUGAUCAUAGCACUGGAAAAGCUGUCAGAAUGUUCCUAGUAAGGAAAAAUAGCAAUGAAUACACCUUCCUGCAGAAUUAAACUGUAGAAGCAACAGCUACACAUGCAGAGUCUACUGUCUUGAUAAAGUGCCCUAGGACACUCACAAUGCUGACAGUUUCAGGGUUAUUAGUAAUGUCAAUGCUAGGAGGGAAAAGAAGUGUAUACACACUGCUGUGGUUCUCCUGUCUCCUAGGGGUGGCAAAAAUGAGGCCAGAAGAUAUCCUUUUACAACACAGCUGAUGACUUUGCAGAAUAGGCAUUAUCAUUUUUAAAAUAAACUUUUAAAGAAGGUAGAGUUUUAUACAAGUUUCUGUUAUGUUGAGCAUAUUCCCCCAUGGCUCUGACUCUCCUUUUCUUACCCCCACACCACUUUAUUAUCUGUGUUCUCUACAGUGUUACUUUUUUCAUACAUGCAUUUUGGAUUUAUGUAAAACAUAGGAAGCACAAAUGAGAGGAAACACUAUUUGUCUAUGUGAGACUGACUUAAUCCAUUUAAAUGAUCACCCAUUGUGUUCAUUCUCCUGUAAAUGACAUGACUUCAUUCUUUGUGACGAAAGGACUAUUCAGAGUGUACAUCAGUUUUCUUUAUCAAUCCUGUGUGUUGGAUACCAAUGUAGGUUCCAUUACACUUGCUCACACGGGAACACUGCUCGGU
ensembl:lncRNA